GGCGCAACAACAUCAAAACGUCAGUGCCUGGACAGAGCAAGGGCUUAUUUCUCAUUACUGCUAUACUCUCACUUGGGUCAAUUUCACAAUGGGAAAAACAUCUCUGCUCCACAGAGUCAUUCAGAGACCCAGGCUCCUUCCAGUGGGUGGCUUCACCAUCCCUUGAGGCCGCAAACUCCUCUACUGGAUCCCAUGCAUCUGGAUGCCAGGCAAAGGAGAGGAGAAAAUGUGAAGAGAGGAUUGUAUGGUGGGUCAGCCCUAAAGGAGGGGGCUUCUGCCAUAUUUCAUUGGGUAGAAGCUUAGUUCUCUGCUGCUCUACUCCUCCAACUGCAAGAGAGCUAGGAACAGUGAUCUAGUGACGCAGCCUAGAAGAAGAAGAAGAGAAACUCAUACAUCACUUAUCCUUCAGAUCCAAACUCCAGCAACAGCUGCCCGCCUUCCCCAUUAAGGUGAAGAGUUGAAAAUAUUUCUGCCUCAUCAAACAGCCUCAAUUCCAGAGAGACACCCAGACAGAACAUCUGCCAUUGGUUGAUGUCAUCACUACCACCUAAAAGAACAAUUUUCUACAGUGAUGGAGGUUCUGUGAUGUCAUUGGGAUUACAAAAGCUGGCAAGGAAAUCUGCUAUCAGCACUUAUCACCGGAAAUUACAAAGGAAAUUAAUUGUAAGCUUUCUAAGAAAGGACUGUUCAGUGAAACUAAACUUUUUUUUUUUUUCUUAAUUUAUUAUACAGCGAAAGUCUUUCCUCUCUCUACAGAGAGAAUGCCCUACAACUUCAGGAGACUAAAUAAACAGGGUUGGUGUAAGAGAUAGAUUGUCCUACUUUGUGAGUGCUUGAUUGGCUAAGU